CAGUCGCCGCGGUAAUACGUAGGUCCCGAGCGUUGUCCGGAUUUAUUGGGCGUAAAGCGAGCGCAGGCGGUUAGAUAAGUCUGAAGUUAAAGGCUGUGGCUUAACCAUAGUACGCUUUGGAAACUGUUUAACUUGAGUGCAAGAGGGGAGAGUGGAAUUCCAUGUGUAGCGGUGAAAUGCGUAGAUAUAUGGAGGAACACCGGUGGCGAAAGCGGCUCUCUGGCUUGUAACUGACGCUGAGGCUCGAAAGCGUAGGGAGCAAACAGGAUUAGAUACCCGCGUAGUCCCUGUCUCUUAUACA
rnacentral:rRNA from 1 species